AACCACAUGAUAAUUCAUACAAGGCAAAAAGCAUUUGUCUGUUCUGAGUGUGGUCAAAGAUUUGGACGAAAGAGCACUCUGAACAACCACAUGAUAAUUCAUACAGGACAAAAAGCAUUUGUCUGUUCUGAGUUGUGGUCAGAGAUUUGGACUAAGGACCACUCUGAACAACCACAUGAUAAUUCAUACAGGGAAAAAAGAAUUUGCCUGUUCUGAGUGUGGUCAAAGAUUUGGACUAAAGGGCAACCUGAAAAAACACAUGAUAAUUCAUACAGGG